GAUGAACGCUGGCGGCGUGCUUAACACAUGCAAGUCGAACGAAGCACUUAAACGGAAGUUUUCGGAUGGAAGAUUAAGUGACUGAGUGGCGGACGGGUGAGUAACGCGUGGGCAACCUGCCUCAUACAGGGGGAUAACAGUUAGAAAUAGCUGCUAAUACCGUAUAAGCUUACGGUACCGCAUGGUACAGUAAGAAAAACUCCGGUGGUAUGAGAUGGGCCCGCGUCUGAUUAGCUAGUUGGUAAGGUAACGGCUUACCAAGGCGACGAUCAGUAGCCGACCUGAGAGGGUGACCGGCCACAUUGGGACUGAGACACGGCCCAAACUCCUACGGGAGGCAGCAGUGGGGAAUAUUGCACAAUGGGGGAAACCCUGAUGCAGCGACGCCGCGUGAAGGAAGACGGUUUUCGGAUUGUAAACUUCUGUUCUUAGUGAAGAAGAAUGACGGUAACUAAGGAGCAAACCACGGCUAACUACGUGCCAGCAGCC
rnacentral:rRNA from 1 species